GACGAACGCUGGCGGCGUGCUUAACACAUGCAAGUCGAACGGAAAGGCCCUGCUUUUGUGGGGUGCUCGAGUGGCGAACGGGUGAGUAACACGUGAGUAACCUGCCCUUGACUUUGGGAUAACUUCAGGAAACUGGGGCUAAUACCGGAUAGGAGCUCCUGCUGCAUGGUGGGGGUUGGAAAGUUUCGGCGGUUGGGGAUGGACUCGCGGCUUAUUAGCUUGUUGGUGGGGUAGUGGCUUACCAAGGCUUUGACGGGUAGCCGGCCUGAGAGGGUGACCGGCCACAUUGGGACUGAGAUACGGCCCAGACUCCUACGGGAGGCAGCAGUGGGGAAUAUUGCACAAUGGGCGGAAGCCUGAUGCAGCAACGCCGCGUGCGGGAUGACGGCCUUCGGGUUGUAAACCGCUUUCGCCUGUGACGAAGCGUGAGUGACGGUAAUGGGUAAAGAAGCACCGGCUAACUACGUG
rnacentral:rRNA from 1 species